rnacentral:misc_RNA from 1 species
GAAAUGCGAUACGUAAUGUGAAUUGCAGAAUUCAGUGAAUCAUCGAAUCUUUGAACGCAUCUUGCGCUCCGGGGUAUUCCUCGGAGCAUGCCUGUUUGAGUGUCGUGGAAAUCUCAACCCCGCCGGGUUUUUUAUUCGGUAGAUGGGCUUUGGAUCGUGACUGUUUGCUGGCCUUGUAAUGAGACCCAGCUCGGUCGAAAUACAAGAGUGGCUGAUUCCCAAUCCGGCCUGACUCGGCGUGAUAAUCACACUUCGCCGAUUACGGAUGGGGUGAUAAAGGCUGCUUCCAAGAUAUAUUACUUUUGAACUAGACCUCAAAUCAGGUAGGACUACCCGCUGAACUUAA